GUGCUCAUUUCCACAGCACAAAUAAUAAAAUUGAAACAACACAGAGAAGAUUAGCAUGACCCCUGCACAAGGAUGACCUGCAAAUUCAUGAAAUGUUCUGUGUAUAG
rfam:Canis lupus familiaris chromosome 3, whole genome shotgun sequence.